GGUUGCCGGCGAUCGUUCCAGCGUGACUUUCCGUUGUCCCAAGGAGAAUAAAUCCUCAAGACAAUGUUUCUGCUGUUCUGAAAGAGCACUACCUGAGAGAAGAGAAAUACUCUGCCUUUUAUCUACAAGGCUGCUGUGCUGGUUAGCCAAAGUGCCUGUCGAUGCUUAAAGCAGUUUCUGCUAUAUUUCUCCAGUCAGGUAUAUAGCACAAAGAUGUAGUAUUGCAAUGGCUGACCUCAAAAGUCCUUCUUAUAAAACAUUGUUGGAUCUUCGAUGUCGCAUACAUUCUGACAAACUCUAAUCAAUCUGCCUUAGUAUCAAAGGAAACUUCCUUCCAGGAUGUCCUGGAUUUGAUGUUGACCAGAUAGCACUAACCCAAAACUCAUCCAAAGAAUUACAAGGCACAGUCGAGGUAGCAUGGCU